UUCUGGGUGAGUUGCACCAUCAGGGCCAGCUCCGGUGUGAUGCUCUGCAGGGACUGGCGGUGCUGAAGGCGGAGGUUUGUUUGCCUUCCCACAGAUCCUGCACAUUAGAUAGUGUUUUACUGGAGCUCAACCAACCAACCAGCCAUGCUCACUGGGCAGGGAUGCAGUUACACUUAUAACACAGAAGAACGUGGAUAUUUUCAUUCUGCUCAAGGCACCGUGGAAACCGGUGCACUUGAGGUGGUGGAGAGGCAGCUAAGGACUCAAUGGAGGAGAGCAUGGGUGUUCCGGUCCAGAAAUCAGUGCCUCUGCUGGGAGAAGUGCAUGGUGCAGGGGACGGCAGAGGGCGGCUCGUGUUCUGGGCACUGUGAAUGGUGUGAAGUCAGGCAAAGAUUACCAAGAAGAGUGGAGACCACAGAAUCUCAGAAUCAAGGAACAUCCCAAGUUGGAAGGGACCCGUAAGGAUCAUCAAGUCCAACUCCUGGCCCCGCAUGGGACUACUUAUAAGAUUAAACUGCAUGCAACCCUGAGAAGCCCCAUUCAUUGUGCACUCUCCUUGCUUUUCCAUUCUCACCUACAGGUCACUCAGUGCCCUGACUAUAAAACAAUGCUCAUGUUUUUCAAGUGCCAAGUGGAGUUAUAUCUGAGUUUGAAGUGUAAGAACAUAGGCCACAUGGUCACCACUAUUGGAGUAAAACAAUUGAUUCAUCUGAUUCCAAAAUACAGAAUCACAGAGUCAUAGAAUCAUUAAGGUUGGAAAAGACUACUAAGAUCAUCUGGUCCAAACCAUCAACCUAUCAGCACCGUGCCCACUGACCACGUCACUCAGUGUCGCAAACAUUUGUUGUGUUUGGGGCAUUUUCUUGAAGUUAUUUGCAGAUGCAGCA
rnacentral:lncRNA from 1 species